rnacentral:rRNA from 1 species
GACGAACGCGGCGGCGUGCUUAACACAUGCAAGUCGAACGAAGAGCGAUGGAAGCUUGCUCUAUUAAUCUUAGUGGCGAACGGGUGAGUAACGCGUAAUCAACCUGCCCUUCAGAGGGGGACAACAGUUGGAAACGACUGCUAAUACCGCAUACGAUCCAAUCUCGGCAUCGAGACUGGAUGAAAGGUGGCCUCUAUUUAUAAGCUAUCACUGAAGGAGGGGAUUGCGUCUGAUUAGCUAGUUGGAGGGGUAACGGCCCACCAAGGCGAUGAUCAGUAGCCGGUUCUGAGAGGAUGAACGGCCACAUUGGGAAUGAGACACGGCCCAGACUCCUACGGGAGGCAGCAGUGGGGAAUUUUCCGCAA